rnacentral:rRNA from 1 species
CGGGGUGCACCAGGCGCGAAACCUUUACAAUGCUGGCAACAGCGAUAGGGGGACCUCGAGUGCCAGGUUACAAAUCUGGCUGUCGUUGUGUCUAAAAAACACGAUAUAGCAAGGGCCGGGCAAGACCGGUGCCAGCCGCCGCGGUAACACCGGCGGCUCGAGUGGUAACCGUUAUUAUUGGGUUUAAAGGGUCUGUAGCCGGCCUGGUUAGUCCUUUGGGAAAUCCGGCAGCUCAACUGUCGGGCUUUCAGAGGAUACUGCCAGGCUCGAGACCGGGAGAGGUAAGAGGUACUUCAGGGGUAGGGGUGAAAUCUUGUAAUCCUUGAAGGACCACCAGUGGCGAAGGCGUCUUACCAGAACGGAUCUGACGGCAAGGGACGAAAGCUAGGGGCACGAACCGGAUUAGAUACCCGGGUAGUCCUAGCCGUAAACGAUACUCGCUAGGUGUCGGCCACGGUGCGACCGUGGUCGGUGCCGUAGGGAAACCGUGAAGCGAGCCACCUGGGAAGUACGGCCGCAAGGCUGAGACUUAAAGGAAUUGGCGGGGGAGCACAAGGGCGAUUGCG